AUGAAUCAUGAUAUUGUACAACUUGUGUUUGAACUCCAGAUUUACCACUUGUGUGACCAUUGCAGACUUGAUAUUUAGUUUCUUCUCUGCAAAAAUAGGUAUAUAAUCGCAACUAUCUCACAAAAUUGUUGUGAGGAAUUUGAUAGAACAUGACAGAAGCAGAGACACUAUAAUACCAAUAUUUCCUCUGUUGCCAUAGAAAUCUAGGUUUGAACCUGUGUCACUUGGAUCACAAAGCAGGUAUGCUCCCAGGAGACAUUUACAGGUGAGAAAACCGAAGUCUUAAAAGGCC